UUUUUCAAGUGUUCAAGGGGAAAUCUGCCCAUGACUACCCAUUUAUGUCUGUAGAUGAGGUUCUUUGUUCACAAGCAAAGUGCAGGAAAAGGCAAAUCCUGUCCCCAGCAAACAGCCUGUGUAACCAGUCUGACUGGCAGUGGUCAGUAUGAAGAAAUCUUUCCCUAUGCAAUGGGGUGACAACAGAGCACCUGCACAACCAAAACUACAGCCUCGGUACUAAGAUCCAUUGGUCUGGUCUCACCCCAGAAAUUCCCCUCCAUGGUGGAGCACAGUAAGGCCUCACAGAGCAUAUCCCAGUGGUGCAUAGGAAGGAUGGAACCCCCUCACUGGGCCCAGAACCCUACUCUUAUUCACUGAACAGAAUCACAAGACUUCACUUUCUAGCUGAUGGCUUUGGAAUUAGGUCCAGAUUUUCAGGGAUAGUGAGCAUCCACAACCCCCACUGAGAUCAGUGGGAGCUGCAGGCUCUGAGCAUCUCUGCAAUUCAGAUGCAAAUAAACUAAUUAUAAACUCAUAGAGUUUAUACAGCACUUUUCAAUCUUGUAGUGAAAAAUCGCUAGUCAGGCUUAGUAAAGGGGAUUACUCAUUGCAUAGAAAGCAAUUUAAAUUAUUGUGUGUAAUAAAGAGAAUUUGUUUGUACUAAAGUUAUUAUGCUACAAUGUUCCCUGAAAGCUAGUUAAUGUUAAAUUGGCAGGAAUAGUAUCACUCCAUCAAUCAAGGUCAGACUUAAUUUUACAAUGGUUGAAAAACUCCUUCCUGUUGAGAAACAGUAUCUUUCCACUUUCUGAGAAGGAUAUUUGCCCAUCAGAGACUGGAAUUUAUUUAUAGCACAUGGGAUAUGUGUACCAAGUCAAAUUGUGAUGAGUCUUUAAAAGUUUGCUGGAAUCUUGUGAAAAAUUGUCUGCUGGUAUAGCUCGUGGUCAGUGGCGAAAGGGGAGGUGACCGCUCAAUUUUACUACUGGAGAAUUUAUUCUAAAACUAUUGUUUAUUUUAACACAGUGUUUGCGAAAGGUAUUCAAGUGACUGCCCCAGGCCCUGAAAUCCAUUGUUCCAAAUGAGGGGGUACAGUGGAGGCAGCAGUAGUGCUGUCUUAAUCUAUUGUACUACCUGGGCGCCUCAACACUGGCUGGAAGGGGCCACCUCUAGGGGUGAGUCCUUAUGGGUGAUUCAGGCCUUUGCCUUUCUGAGGGGACUAGCAGCAAAGGAGAAAACGAGUGCCCAUUGUGCUGAUGACCAUGGCCUGGGAAUUGGACAGAGGCCCAUUAAACGACAUUUAGUCACAGUGGGAGCUAAACCAGCAUACGGGAGAUUUUCUUUCUCAUUACCUAACUACUGAGCUGUUCAGCCCCCAAAGCUUCCCUUUCUUAAGAAAUUAUCUGCCACUGGUAUUUGUGCACUUGACAUCAAGCUCUUCAGGUUGUGACGACAUAAUCAUUUCCAUGGCAACUCAUUGUGACUUCCACUGGGGCCUAAUCAACAGGAACAACUCCUAAGAAAUAAUGAUCCUGAUUACAUGCAAACAUCCUUUAGGAAUAAAAUUGGAGGCAGACCAAAAGGAAGCAAUGUAGUCAUCCUCUCCCCCUGCCCCUCCCCAGAAGGAAUCUGUUCAAAGCAGUAGGUUAUAAUCAACAUACAUAAAGAACCAUUUACAUUUUGAAAGGAUCAUUGUGUAAAAUAACAAUAAAUAUAGAAGGAACUAGAGUAACUAUUGCAAUGUAUAAUGGCUAAUCCCAUCCCUUAACACAAGGGCAUAUGUCCUGCUACAGAUGGUGCUUCUUAGGCGCACACAGUAACCUCAGGAGUUCUUCACCUGGAGUAAAAUGAAAAGGAUAGAUGUAAAUCACCACCUGAUGUAAGGCAAAGUGGGCUGAAUUCACCCUGAGCUAUGCCCAAGUGCAUGUCCAAAAUAUUGUAGCAGGGAAGCAAACUACAAGGGACAACUUUGGUGCUCGCUUCCCCUUCAACCUCCCAGAAUUCACCCUCUAUAAUCAUCCAUGGCCAGAGCCACAAACUGGAUUGGGGGUGUGAUCUGCAGGAAGUAGUACUUGACUCUCCUUGCUGUUCCUCUCACUGGGUUGUAAUACCCCUGGUACAAGUAAUCUACGAAGGGGAAAGGGGAGGUGCAGGCAGCUGGCCAGAAUAAUACUUUUGCAGCAUUAUUUUGCAUCUGCUUUGACAGCAAAUUGGAUCUAGACUUGGUCAUUUUUAGUUUGUCUUAGUAUCAUCUUGUUUCAUGUGGUCUGCCUAGGCUUAAAGAAGGAAAAUAUGGAUCUUUGGUACCUAUUGCAUUCUGCAUAUGUUACAGAACAGCUAAUGAAAUGUUCUGUACCACAAGCUAAUUAACCCACAUCCAUAGGGUUUACUAAUAUUAGCUGCAUUAAUAAUAAUGUUUUAUAUUACUGUAACACCUUUCAUCUCAAGAUUUCAAAGUACUAUACAAACAUUAAUAGAAUAAGCCACACAGCACUGCUGUUAGGUAAGGAAGUAAGAUUGUUUCCACUUCAUAUUCUAUUACAGAGACAAAAACAGAUGAAAAAUGAGUGACUUUCUCAGUCACUCAGCAAGUCAGUGUCAGAGCCAGGUGUCUGCUCUAGCCACUAGACAAUGCUGCCUGCCCUCAGUUUUUAUACUACAUAGCCUUCCUCUUAGCAGCACCUUUAAGUGUACUGCUUGAAACUGGCAAAGGAUAAGAAAGGGUCCUUUAAGCAUCUGGUAAUGUACAGCACAAAGCAUCAUUAAGUCCUCCCAUGCUCUUCUGUAUUGGCAACACUGCCUCCCACUUGUUCAUGUUACGAGAAUAAAACACCCUAAACUGGAACUCAG